ensembl:lncRNA
GAUUGACAGAGCCUUGCUUGUGGCUAUUAAAGAGGAUUCGAGGAGCCACUCAGCGGAGUGUGAAAUUACACCUGUUCGCUGUUUGCACACACUCUCGUAUCUGCAUGAGCCUAAAAUCACCAUCAGAAUUGUAUUCAAAUACCUCCAUGAGGCAGCCAGUGACAUGUGAAGGUCAGCCUUCCUGUAGCUGAGUGUAGCAGGCCUUGUUCUCCUUCUCUCCCCAUCCAUCAGCCUCUCUCCGGCAGCACCACUGCCCUUUGCUCCUUCACCACCUGCAGACUGAGAGCUCUGGGGUUCAGAGAGAGAAAAAGAAAGAUGUCCACUUUGGCUCCAGUUCUGUUCACCAGAUCCAUGCCAUUACAUUUGAUUCAAUCUGUUCUCUGGACCCUACCAUACAGCUCUGCCUAACCCUUUCAAAUGACAAAUGAAACUGUGUGACACUGCUAUUGCAGUAGUAUUAUUUAUUGUAAAAUUGGUAUAAAAAUGUAAACUUUUUUUUUGAAAAAUUGGGUAUUUGAAAGAUGUAAAGUACAAUUAAAUGCCAACCAACAGCUGACUAAAUACAGUACAUCAGUUCUCAGACAUCCCAAGACACAAGAAAUGCUGAUUCAACAUGUUCAACUGCUUAAAACAAGUGCUGAACAAUGGCAGUAGUCUCCUACUGGGGUAACACACUGAUCCAACAAAACCCAAGCAGUGUGUCUGUUGCCAUUUCUCAGCAUCUGUCGGUGCAGUGUGAAUUGGCUGUAAAGCGAUAGUUUACCCAAAAAUGAAAAUUCUGUUAUUAAUUACUCAACCUAAUGUCAUUCCAAAAUCUUCGGAACUCAAAUUAAGAUAUGUUUGAUGAAAAUAUGUUAAUAAAAUGUUGACCAAUGAAGAGGUAAUAAUGAUUGUCCAGCUUUUGGACUCCAUAUGUUUUGAUUAUCAUUCUGAAUCCAAUUCAUAGUCUUCUUUCAACUUUUUGUUUAAAAUGUUGUUUCUUUCUUUCUUUAUUUUUUAUUUAUGAAACUUACCCACAUUCAAAUGUUCAGUCUGUUCUCUGCACCCUACCAUACAGCUGAACCUCUCUUACUAAUUACAAAGUUGUUUUCACCCACAAAACUG